GAUCAGUAGGGGUUCUGAGAGGAAGGUCCCCCACAUUGGAACUGAGACACGGUCCAAACUCCUACGGGAGGCAGCAGUGAGGAAUAUUGGUCAAUGGACGAGAGUCUGAACCAGCCAAGUAGCGUGCAGGAAGACGGCCCUAUGGGUUGUAAACUGCUUUUAUAAGGGAAUAAAGUGAGAGUCGUGACUCUUUUUGCAUGUACCUUAUGAAUAAGGACCGGCUAAUUCCGUGCCAGCAGCCGCGGUAAUACGGAAGGUCCGGGCGUUAUCCGGAUUUAUUGGGUUUAAAGGGAGCGUAGGCCGGAGAUUAAGCGUGUUGUGAAAUGUAGACGCUCAACGUCUGCACUGCAGCGCGAACUGGUUUCCUUGAGUACGCACAAAGUGGGCGGAAUUCGUGGUGUAGCGGUGAAAUGCUUAGAUAUCACGAAGAACUCCGAUUGCGAAGGCAGCUCACUGGAGCGCAACUGACGCUGAAGCUCGAAAGUGCGGGUAUCGAACAGGAUUAGAUACCCUGGUAGUCCGCACGGUAAACGAUGGAUGCCCGCUGUUGGUCUGAAUAGGUCAGCGGCCAAGCGAAAGCAUUAAGCAUCCCACCUGGGGAGUACGCCGGCAACGGUGAAACUCAAAGGAAUUGACGGGGGCCCGCACAAGCGGAGGAACAUGUGGUUUAAUUCGAUGAUACGCGAGGAACCUUACCCGGGCUUGAAUUGCAGAGGAAGGAUUUGGAGACAAUGACGCCCUUCGGGGCCUCUGUGAAGGUGCUGCAUGGUUGUCGUCAGCUCGUGCCGUGAGGUGUCGGCUUAAGUGCCAUAACGAGCGCAACCCCUCUCCUUAGUUGCCAUCAGGUUAAGCUGGGCACUCUGGGGACACUGCCACCGUAAGGUGUGAGGAAGGUGGGGAUGACGUCAAAUCAGCACGGCCCUUACGUCCGGGGCUACACACGUGUUACAAUGGCAGGUACAGAGAGACGGUCCCUUGCAAAACGGAUCAAAUCCUUAAAGCCUGUCUCAGUUCGGACUGGGGUCUGCAACCCGACCCCACGAAGCUGGAUUCGCUAGUAAUCGCGCAUCAGCCAUGGCGCGGUGAAUACGUUCCCGGGCCUUGUACACACCGCCCGUCAAGCCAUGAAAGCCGGGGGCGCCUAAAGUCCGUGACCGUAAGGAGCGGCCUAGGGCGAAACUGGUAAUUGGGGCUAAGUCGUAACAAGGUA
rnacentral:rRNA from 1 species